rnacentral:rRNA from 1 species
CGCAGGGCGUCCUCUGUGGAGAUAGCAUUUCCUGUAGAGCACUGAUCGGAUGGUAUGGGAUAGAAAUAUCUCGCCACCCCUUCAAACUCCGAAUGGAUAUGCAUCGUAGAAGCAAGGAGACGGGUUCGUGUGACGUAAGGUUCACGACCGAAAGGGGUUUAACCCAGACUAAAGUUAAGGUCCCCAAAUCUUUACUAAGUGUCAAGCAAAAGGGCGUGUUCAUGCCAAGACAGCAGGGAGGUAAGCUCAGAAGCAGCUAUCCUUUAAAAAGUGUGUAACAACUUACCUGCCGAGUGUGGGCGCCCCAAAAAUGGACGGGACUAAAGUAAAGUACCGAUACUUUGGAUACUUGUCGAAAGACAAGUCAUGGUAGGUUGGCGUAGUGAUUGGGCUGAAGCAGGGCAGUGAUGUCCUGUGGACCGAUUUCUAUUGCAGAUCCUGGUGGCAGUAACAGCAUAGUAGUGUGAGAAACACUACCACCGCAAGCGCAAGGGUUUCCAGGCAAUGCGUUAUCAGCCUGGAGUUAGUCGAUCCUAAGAAUUGCCUCAACAGAGUAAUUCGAAUGGGAAACUGGUUAAUAUUCCAGUACCUUGCUAACACAUUAUCAUCUAUAUGAAUCGCUUCUAGAUAGGGGAAGUAGAACCAUCGUUUUAUCUAACUGUUCGAGAUUCAGGGAGUGUCGUAAUGACGAGAACUGAUUCGAGGCAGGAAUGGCUCUGCGUUAGCAGAGUUUUCUCAACUCUAGGGGACCAUGAAAGAUUAUGUAGAGAGUGUUAGCAAGUUCGUACCGAGAACCGACACAGGUGCGCUGGCUUAGAAAGCUAAGGUGCUACGGGUAUACCGUAUGGCGAGGGAAUUCGGCAAAUUAGUCCUGUAGCUUCGGUAUAAGGGAUACCUGCUGUUUUAAUGAGGAAUUGGGACAGCAGGUUGCAAUGACUAGGGGGUUCCGACUGUUUAAUAAAAACACAGGCGACUGCUAGUCCGAAAGGAUUUGUAUAGUCGCUGAAUCCUGGCCGGUGCAGGUACCUAAAACUUGGGUUCAACCGAGCUAAGGGCCUGUUAACGCCGGGAGUAACUCUGACUCUCUUAAGGUAGCCAAAUGCCUUGUC